CAGGAUUCCACAGAGUGACGAGCUGUGUGAAACGGAUUGUUCUAGGUGGAGAGGAAGAUCAGAAAUGUGUCUGCCUGCAGUUUUAGUAAAGUCCUGCAUUUGUGUGAAAUAUGUCACAAAGUGCUGUACAGAAACCCAGCCUAAAACCCCAAACAGCAAGCAAUGCAGAAGUAGAAGCACGUCGAGGAGAGUUUGUCUUUGAAAGAGGCUGGUGAAGCCGACAGAGCUCCAUUAGAAGACAUAAGCUGACUCAAUGGCAAACGCUAAAUAAAUCACUGCAUACUGUGGUGAAGUUGUUUUUACACCGCUCUCAUUGUAAGAUGUCUUGAACUGGAAGAUCUGUUGUGCAAUGCUGCUCCCUGCUGGAGACAUAUCCAUACCACGUUGAAUAUCAAAAUAAAAGACUACAGUGCAAAGCG